rnacentral:rRNA from 1 species
UACGAAGGGGGCUAGCGUUGCUCGGAAUUACUGGGCGUAAAGGGCGCGUAGGCGGAUAGUUUAGUCAGAGGUAAAAGCCCAGGGCUCAACCUUGGAACUGCCUUUGAUACUGGCUAUCUUGAGUUCGGGAGUGGUGAGUGGAAUGCCGAGUGUAGAGGUGAAAUUCGUAGAUAUUCGGCGGAACACCAGUGGCGAAGGCGACUCACUGGCCCGAUACUGACGCUGAGGCGCGAAAGCGUGGGGAGCAAACAGG